AGCAGCCGCGGUAAUUCCAGCUCCAAUAGCGUAUAUUAAAGUUGUUGCAGUUAAAAAGCUCGUAGUUGAACUUCGGGGUUUACUCAUUGGUCAGGCUUAAUUGUCUGUACUGGUGAGAUAAAUCUCUACCUUCUGAGGAACUUUCAUGCCAUUUAUUUGGUGUGAUUGGAAAUCAGGACUGUUACUUUGAAAAAUUAGAGUGUUUAAAGCAGGCUAACGUCUGAAUACAUUAGCAUGGAAUAAUGAAAUAGGACGGAUUGAUUCUAUUUCGUUGGUUUCUAGGGUCACCGUAAUGAUUAAUAGGGAUAGUUGGGGGCAUUAGUAUUCAAUUGUCAGAGGUGAAGUUUCUUGGAUUUAUUGAAGACUAACUACUGCGAAAGCAUUUGCCGAGGAUGUUUUCAUUAAUCAAGAACGAAAGUUAGGGGAUCGAAGACGAUCAGAUACCGUCGUAGUCUUAACCAU
rnacentral:misc_RNA from 1 species